rnacentral:rRNA from 1 species
CUUCGGUGCUAGAGACCGGCGCACGGGUGCGUAACGCGUAUGCAAUCUACCUUUUACAGAGGGAUAGCCCAGAGAAAUUUGGAUUAAUACCUCAUAGUAUUAUGAAAUGGCAUCAUUUUAUAAUUAAAGUCACAACGGUAAAAGAUGAGCAUGCGUCCCAUUAGCUAGUUGGUAAGGUAACGGCUUACCAAGGCUACGAUGGGUAGGGGUCCUGAGAGGGAGAUCCCCCACACUGGUACUGAGACACGGACCAGACUCCUACGGGAGGCAGCAGUGAGGAAUAUUGGACAAUGGGCGCAAGCCUGAUCCAGCCAUGCCGCGUGCAGGAUGACGGUCCUAUGGAUUGUAAACUGCUUUUAUACGAGAAGAAACAACAUUACGUGUAAUGUCUUGACGGUAUCGUAAGAAUAAGGAUCGGCUAACUCCGUGCCAGCAGCCGCGGUAAUACGGAGGAUCCAAGCGUUAUCCGGAAUCAUUGGGUUUAAAGGGUCCGUAGGCGGUUU